CCGGAUUGGUUGUUUCUUUUAAUCUAUCCUAUCAGUUAUUGGAGACAACACUUCUGAAGGAUGUGAGCUACUAUAGUGUGGGUGAAUCCUUGGCGUGGUGAUAUACUGAUACCAAAGCUUCUUCAUCAAAGAACACGGACACUAAAGCUUCAAAUUGUAUAGGCUAUUUUGAAGAUGUUAACAAAGAGAAAAGUUACAAUUAUGUAUAUACUGUACUGGACUAUUGUUUUUAAAUUCAUUUAAAUUAUCUGUGGUGUAUGACACUUGAAACUUUUGACAUGAAUGUGAAUGUUUGCGGUAUUGCGAAGAGCAAAUAAAUAUAUUUGUUUUUUUCUU